rnacentral:tRNA from 1 species
GCGGACGUGGUGGAAUUGGUAGACACACUGGAUUUAGGUUCCAGCGCCGCAAGGCGUAAGAGUUCGAGUCUCUUCGUCCGCA